AGCUUACACUCUAGCCUCUGCUUCUCCAGGUGCUGAAAUCUCUGCUUGAUUUUUAGCUUCCCUGCCACUGUUUCUGCUAGGUUUCUUGGUGUCUUGCCCUAAAUAAAUGCAGCGUUUGAGAUGGCCAACAACUGGAAUGCAUCUCUGUCUCCUUAGCCUAAGGGGAAUACCAUUCUGUGUUUGAGCUCUCUGCCUCAUUUGGAAAUUACCCUCUUGGGAAAAACUAGAUUUACCAUGCACCUGCUAAGAGUUCAAGUUCAGCGAAGAGUUGGCACCGACUACAGAAGACACUUGAUAAAUAUUCCUACUUUGAACAAACCAAAUUCAACUUUUCCUUCUUGUGACAUGGUGAUUAAGAGCUGCCAGUUUGAGGACAUCAUAGAAAAAAAUGAGAAGAAACAGUGUGGACCAUUUGCUUCAACAUGGAUGGAACUGGAGGGUAUUAUGCUGAGUGAAUGA
rnacentral:lncRNA from 1 species